rnacentral:rRNA from 1 species
GACGAACGCUGGCGGCGUGCUUAACACAUGCAAGUCGAACGGAAAGGCCCUGCUUUUGUGGGGUGCUCGAGUGGCGAACGGGUGAGUAACACGUGAGUAACCUGCCCUUGACUUUGGGAUAACUUCAGGAAACUGGGGCUAAUACCGGAUAGGAGCUCCUGCUGCAUGGUGGGGGUUGGAAAGUUUCGGCGGUUGGGGAUGGACUCGCGGCUUAUCAGCUUGUUGGUGGGGUAGUGGCUUACCAAGGCUUUGACGGGUAGCCGGCCUGAGAGGGUGACCGGCCACAUUGGGACUGAGAUACGGCCCAGACUCCUACGGGAGGCAGCAGUGGGGAAUAUUGCACAAUGGGCGGAAGCCUGAUGCAGCAACGCCGCGUGCGGGAUGACGGCCUUCGGGUUGUAAACCGCCUUCGCCUGUGACGAAGCGUGAGUGACGGUAAUGGGUAAAGAAGCACCGGCUAACUACGUGCCAGCAGCCGCGGUGAUACGUAGGGCGCGAGCGUUGUCCGGAUUUAUUGGGCGUAAAGGGCUCGUAGGUGGUUGAUCGCGUCGGAAGUGUAAUCUUGGGGCUUAACCCUGAGCGUGCUUUCGAUACGGGUUGACUUGAGGAAGGUAGGGGAGAAUGGAAUUCCUGGUGGAGCGGUGGAAUGCGCAGAUAUCAGGAGGAACACCAGUGGCGAAGGCGGUUCUCUGGGCCUUUCCUGACGCUGAGGAGCGAAAGCGUGGGGAGCGAACAGGCUUAGAUACCCUGGUAGUCCACGCUGUAAACGGUGGGUACUAGGCGUGGGGUCCAUUCCACGGGUUCCGUGCCGUAGCUAACGCUUUAAGUACCCCGCCUGGGGAGUACGGCCGCAAGGCUAAAACUCAAAGGAAUUGACGGGGCCCCGCACAAGCGGCGGAGCAUGCGGAUUAAUUCGAUGCAACGCGUAGAACCUUACCUGGGUUUGACAUGGAUCGGGAGUGCUCAGAGAUGGGUGUGCCUCUUUUGGGGUCGGUUCACAGGUGGUGCAUGGCUGUCGUCAGCUCGUGUCGUGAGAUGUUGGGUUAAGUCCCGCAACGAGCGCAACCCUUGUUCACUGUUGCCAGCACGUUAUGGUGGGGACUCAGUGGAGACCGCCGGGGUCAACUCGGAGGAAGGUGGGGAUGACGUCAAGUCAUCAUGCCCCUUAUGUCCAGGGCUUCACGCAUGCUACAAUGGCUGGUACAGAGAGUGGCGAGCCUGUGAGGGUGAGCGAAUCUCGGAAAGCCGGUCUCAGUUCGGAUUGGGGUCUGCAACUCGACCUCAUGAAGUCGGAGUCGCUAGUAAUCGCAGAUCAGCAACGCUGCGGUGAAUACGUUCCCGGG